GGUCACGUGGCCGAGCGGUUAGGCAACGGUCUGCAAAACCGUGUACAGCAGUUCAAAUCUGCUCGUGACCU
rnacentral:tRNA from 1 species